rnacentral:rRNA from 1 species
CCCAGACUCCUACGGGAGGCAGCAGUGGGGAAUAUUGCACAAUGGGGGGAACCCUGAUGCAGCGACGCCGCGUGGGUGAAGGAGCACCUCGGUGCGUAAAGCCCUCUCGGCAGGGAAGAAGCAAGACGGUACCUGACUAAGAAGCCCCGGCUAACUACGUGCCAGCAGCCGCGGUAAUACGUAGGGGGCGAGCGUUAUCCGGAUUUACUGGGUGUAAAGGGAGCGUAGACGGCGGUGCAAGCCAGAUGUGAAAGCCCGGGGCUCAACCCCGGGACUGCAUUUGGAACUGUGCUGCUAGAGUGUCGGAGAGGCAGGCGGAAUUCCUAGUGUAGCGGUGAAAUGCGUAGAUAUUAGGAGGAACACCGGUGGCGAAGGCGGCCUGCUGGACUGUAACUGACGUUGAGGCUCGAAAGCGUGGGGAGCAAACAGGAUUAGAUACCCCCGUAUG